AAACUUUUUUUUAUAAACAAACAAACUAACUCGGUCAUCGGCUACUUUUCCAGGUUAAAGAAUAAUGCCUGUCAGAGGUGAUCAAUUCAAACAUGAAGGGGCUAAUUUGCAAUUCAAUUCGAUCAACAAUAUAUCGACCAUUGCAUUGGAACUUGGAGAAGAAAGAACUCGUAACGAGUUGAUCCCUCGCUUAACAAAAAUCAGUUACGAUGAGGACGAAGACUUGUUGGCUUUGACUGAACUGUUGGGAACAUUCACAAGUGCGUAACCGGAUGUUUUUGUCAUGUUUUCCGAUUUUUCGAUCAAAAGCUAUGCGGACUGUGUAUUGGAUGGUUGAAAAAUAAAAUAUAUCCGAUUAGAGAGGGUGCCAUUUUCAACAUAGUGCAACUGGUUAAGGUCUUCGGUUCAGCCUGGGCCGAACUAGCAAUUGUUCCGAAAAUUCUGUUUAUGGCAAACAACAAGAAUUACAUGCACAGGUUAACUUUUCUGUUAUGCAUCAGUGAUGUCGCCCGAAGUUUGUGGCAAAGCAAUCACCUCCACAAUGCUCUUGCCAAAGAUAUUACUAUUGGUUGACGAUCCAGUUGGCAAAGUACGAUUUCGAGUUGCCAGAACGCUACAGACGAUAAGCCCGUUUGUAAAUUCGUCCGUCGUGCGUUGGAAAGUUGAACCGGCGCUGGACAUACUACAGGACUUUGUUGGUGACUAAAAUUAUGAGUGAAACAAGUUUGGAUUUGGUGAAUAUGGACCGAAAAUUCAAAAGUGUGACAGAAAUGUACGAGAAGAGAAUUAAACGACUGGAAACCUACGAGAUCCUAACAACAGACUAAAUUUUCCACACGAACAAUAAAUGUAAAAUUGAAA